rnacentral:rRNA from 1 species
AGUGAACGCUGGCGGUAGGCCUAACACAUGCAAGUCGAACGGCAGCACAGGAGAGCUUGCUCUCUGGGUGGCGAGUGGCGGACGGGUGAGGAAUACAUCGGAAUCUACCUUUUCGUGGGGGAUAACGUAGGGAAACUUACGCUAAUACCGCAUACGACCUACGGGUGAAAGUGGGGGACCGCAAGGCCUCACGCGAUUAGAUGAGCCGAUGUCGGAUUAGCUAGUUGGCGGGGUAAUGGCCCACCAAGGCGACGAUCGGUAGCUGGUCUGAGAGGAUGAUCAGCCACACUGGAACUGAGACACGGUCCAGACUCCUACGGGAGGCAGCAGUGGGGAAUAUUGGACAAUGGGCGCAAGCCUGAUCCAGCCAUACCGCGUGGGUGAAGAAGGCCUUCGGGUUGUAAAGCCCUUUUGUUGGGAAAGAAAUCCUGUCGAUUAAUACGCGGUGGGGAUGACGGUACCCAAAGAAUAAGCACCGGCUAACUUCGUG